AUUUGUGUGGUUAAAGCUUUAUUUCUGAAGAGUAAAUGAAACAUGAAAACUACAUGAGCCAAACAGGAUUUCUUCUGUGUUUGCACUGUUGGAAUCUCAGAAAAACAAAUCUUUAGGUAUCCUGAUAUUUGAAAAAGGAAUAUGCUAGGCACUUACUUUGUAAAACUUGUCUAACAAAAUGCUUGGAGAAGCUUUCUUAAUUGAUCUUCUAUACAAAGAGCAGAAAUAUGCAAAAUUUUGCAAACCAUUUAUAUGUAAGAAGACUGAAAAGGAAACUUGGAAAAAGAAGAUUUUAGAUAGAGAAGAAAAUUCACUUUCCUCUGCUGAGAUGGAAAAUCAAGAAACAGCUACGAAAGAAAGAGUAAACAGAGCAAAAUGAUGAUACAGAUCAAAUAAAAUCUGUGGAUGAAACAACUGUAGCAAAAUGCAAAGGUAUACCUCUUCCAGGAAAUGUGUCAGUUGCGUUGCCCAUUUCAAAGAGAGAACAACAUGAUCAAAGACAACUAGAUUUAUGUAGAUCAUGGUUGUGUAUGAGUAUUUGCCACAAUUAUCCUGACCUACAGAUUGGAGGUGACGACAUGAAGAACAUAUGUGAUUCAGACUGCUUUAUGGAACACACACAUAAUGAUGUUUUUAAUGGUCCCCUUUUGUUUUCAGUUGGUAUGCCACUGGGUCAUUCUCCUGUCAUUGGGCCUCUAGAGGCAUUACCUACCUCAAAAUUAUUGAACGGGGAUGAAAGCCAAGAAAAAAGUAUGUUGUUUCAAAAACAGCCCCUCUCUAAUUCUAUGCUUAAUACUUAUAUGGAAAGAAAGGUGGACGAGCUCUACAAACAAUUAUUGGAAGAAAAUCUCACCAGAUGCCACUCUAUAACCAAUCUUAUGGCUUCCAAUUUGCUGAUGAAUAAUGUAAAUUACACCAGCCUUCAAAUCUCUCAAGAGCAGAACAUUGAGUUAUGGAAAGAUCAGGAAGCUAUCCUACACUCUCUACCACUAUGUAAUCUCUGUAACAGUUCUCAUGGAAACAGUUCUGAAUUCAGUACUCCUAACUUACAAAUAUCAAACCAGACAAUUAGGGAACUUCUAUGACAUCUACAAUAGAAACCAAAUGUAGGUUGUUUGGACAUACUUAAGGGACUGCAAUAACAAGAGUUUUCUCUGGCUUAUCAUUCACAUCUAGCCUUCUUUGGGGUGUGGUUAUUAUAGUUUUUGAGAAAUGAUUUGGCCCAUGGUACAUCUGAAUUAUUGUAGGAGACAGCUAUAGUAACUACAUUUUUGAGUGCAUGUUCUUAAUGUGUUGAUAUUUUAAUUGUUGCCAGAUUAAACUCUAUGUGUGUUUACCUAUUUAAUUUUCACUGGCACCCCAAAUCAAUUACCUCAGUGUCACAUAGCUUUAUUUACAACAAAAAUGGGAUGAGGAGUGGAUUAUUGCUCUAAGAUACUGAGGACAACUAGAAGGUAUAUCAGAGAGGGACAUUUAUUUCCCCACAAAAUUGCAUUGAUACUGACAAUCAAAAUAGUCUAGGGGGAAUUAUGAUAUGUAGUUAUGGAUAUGGAUAUGUAUAUCUGGAUAUCUAUAUGUGGAUAUCUAUAGAUCAAGAUUGAGUAUGGGGACAUAUAAAAGGAAAUACUUUAAACAAAAGUCAAAUUUAAAUGAUAUUUGAAAGAAACAUGGAAGGGGGGCUUAAGGAAAAAUGGAAAAUUCAUAAGUACCAUUUGUAUUGAAACUUGGGGCUUUGGAACUUACCUGGAAUGAACAUUAACUGUUUUAUAGCACUGUUAUCCCUGGUUGUUUUUAGGGAUGGGAGGAAACAAAACAUACAGGUAGAGUGAAGAAAGUAGAGUACCACCAUUUAGAAAUAAAAAGGCUCUCAGCAACUUGUUACACAUCAGAUUAUCCUCAAUCAUGAUCCUGGCUUAGAGUGAAAGGCAGCAGUGUAUUAUGGAAAUUUUCGAAUCUAAAUUAAAUACGUUGACAAAAUUAUCUAAAGUAACAGUAUAAUUUAUUGCAGACUUGGAAAGAAGCCUCCACACUUUUAAUAGAAAUAGGAAGAUGAUCGGCAUGCACUUGUGUGUUGUAAAAUAAAAUGGUAUUAAUUUCUGUUAUA